rnacentral:misc_RNA from 1 species
GGGUUCUAGGGUUUUGGAUGGUGUAUCAAUGGCUAGAAUUUUACGUGGGAAUAAGUUUUGGCUCUGCAUUGAUUGCUGUGCACCGUGUGGAAAAUAAUACCUUAGGGAUUUAGCAGUAGUUAAUGAUAAAGAAAGAGGAAGAAAUAGAGGACCUCACACAGCAAAAUACCUCAAAAUUUGCAUAAUAAUCAACUAUAAGAACUAAAUAUG